GACAGAGGGUGCAAACGUUGUUCGGAAUUACUGGGCGUAAAGCGCACGUAGGCGGCUUUGCAAGUCAGAGGUGAAAGCCCGGGGCUCAACCCCGGAAUAGCCUUUGAGACUGCAUCGCUUGAACAUCGGAGAGGUAAGUGGAAUUCCGAGUGUAGAGGUGAAAUUCGUAGAUAUUCGGAAGAACACCAGUGGCGAAGGCGACUUACUGGACGAUUGUUGACGCUGAGGUGCGAAAGCGUGGGGAGCAAACAGG
rnacentral:rRNA from 1 species